AUACGGAGGAUGCGAGCGUUAUCCGGAUUUAUUGGGUUUAAAGGGAGCGUAGGUGGGAUAUUAAGUCAGCUGUGAAAGUUUGGGGCUCAACCUUAAAAUUGCAGUUGAUACUGGUUUCCUUGAGUACGGUACAGGUGGGCGGAAUUCGUGGUGUAGCGGUGAAAUGCUUAGAUAUCACGAAGAACUCCGAUUGCGAAGGCAGCCUGCUGGACUGUAACUGACGCUGAUGCUCGAAAGUGUGGGGAUCAAACAGGAUUAGAUACCCUGGUAGUCCACACAGUAAACGAUGAAUACUCGCUGUUUGCGAUAUACAGUAAGCGGCCAAGCGAAAGCGUUAAGUAUUCCACCUGUGGAGUACGCCGGCAACGGUGAAACUCAAAGGAAUUGACGGGG
rnacentral:rRNA from 1 species